AGUAGUAGUUCUUUCAUGUAUACAUGUUGCCAGGAUAAAAAUAGCACAUGAGGGACUGAUAAUCUAAAGCCACUGUACUCAUUUAGUUUUUCAACAUCCAGAAGACCAUAUUCAAUUUUUCUUUUUCAAUGUCCAGAAGCAGUAGAAAUUUCGAAAGAGGAAUUCUGACUGCACACGUGUUCCAAUGGGACAAACAACUGACUAAUGCUUACAAAAUCCAAACUGUUCAUGUGGUGGGCCACAACACGGAUAGACGAUAGUUAGAAAAUGGUUAGAAAUUUAUGGAAUUGUCGAAUUUAAAACACAUGAAUCAACGUGUUCCUAAGGUUGCUUGGUGCAAUGGUAGAUUUUUUGUUAUCAUGCUUGGUGGAAAGGUCAAGUUAUCAUGCUUGGUUUUCCGAGCACAUGGCUGAAAUGGGGACAAAUUCUUUAACUCAAAUGGCAAGCAUGAACCCGGUUCUAAGUGAGUACCUCACCCAUUAUGGUGAAAGCUCGAGUCAAAUUCUUUAACUCAAAUGGGAGCCGGAGCCUUGUUGUACAUUGCUGUAAGAUUAAAAUCGCGGAAAAUAGGUUUUUUAUCAGAUUAUUUCCAACAUUUGUUCUACACUUACAUGUAUGAUUGCUGCGCAAUUGUGACUUGUGAAAGGAGAAAAAAGAAUGUGUGAACAUUUUUUUGCUGCAGGUAUUUUGAAGAUAGUGUUUUGAUUGAUUCACUUCUGUUUUUCAUUGCGGCUUGUUCCUUUACAACUAUUGUAGAAUAAGCUUAUUUUACAUCUUACUUGUGGGACCCAUAUGCACUCCCUCUUUUUUUUUUUAACUGUUGUUAGUUGGAGGGAGUAGGAAUGAAGAAUCAGAAUUUCUUCAUUCUUUUGGAUGCUUCUAUUGAUUAGUCGGAGGUCUUCAACAGGGUUGUUUCUUCUGUUUGCAUUUUGCUAACCAAAGAUGAGCUUGUAAUCACCAUGCAUGGAUGCACUGCUGCUAUAUGUGAUGACAGUGAAGCAGUCAGCAGAAGGUGCAAUUCAGGCUGUCAUUGAGUUCAUUACAAGAAGAGGCAAUGAGUUGAAUGAAACUGAUGUUUCAAGGUUCUGGCUGAGCAUUGGCACAUUAUGUAUUUUAGUUUGCAAAGUAAUUAAUGUCUUGGCAAAUAUCUUAUGCCAACCAUUUCCAUGACUGCAGGAUUACCCAAUCUUUGCUUUCUGCUACAAUGUUUGUAACCGAGAAACAUCUACAUCAGGAAGUUCUUGGUGCUGUAUCUUUGGUUGAUCUUUUUUUUUUUUUUUACAUAAUUUCAUUUCACUUUAGGCAUAGCUUGAAAAUAUUUUCUAAUAUGACAAGUGUUACCCAAUGCGUAUUGGAGCAUUGGAGGAGCAACAUAACUUUAUCUCACUUGUAAUCUGUACUCAUAAUUAGUUACAGAUAUUGACUGUUCUGC